ACCAGAUCGCACCCCCGCCACUCCCUCUUCCUUUCCCGGCCAGCCCCCGCCCUUGGAGACGCCGGAAUCUCGUCGGAAAACUGCCAAAAACGCGCUGGUUUUUUACAGAACUUCCAGCUGCUUGUUCUCCCUCAUUUCUCCACCAAAUUGGACGUGUAAGGUUGAAAUUUUUGGGGAAUGUUCAAUUUACAGGAGACACUGUCGAAUUUUCGGCAGAAAGUCUCGAUUUUUAGUAAGUGGACCCGACAUCGGUAAGAUGUCGGAAUUUCCACAGGAUUCGUCUCGGGUUCCGAGGAAUUUCGGGGCGGGUCCUGUC